rnacentral:rRNA from 1 species
UACGUAUGGAGCAAGCGUUAUCCGGAAUGACUGGGCGUAAAGGGUGCGUAGGUGGUUUGGCAAGUUGGUAGCGUAAUCCCGGGGCUUAACUCCGGUGCUACUACCAAAACUGCUGGGCUUGAGUGCAGGAGGGGUGAAUGGAAUUCCUAGUGUAGCGGUGGAAUGCGUAGAUAUUAGGAAGAACACCAGCGGCGAAGGCGAUUCACUGGACUGUAACUGACACUGAGGCACGAAAGCGUGGGGAGCAAACAGG